UUGAAUUGGCGCUAUGGUCGGUGCAAAAUGAAAAUUCAUCCAUUGACGAAGUUUGUUUUAAGACGCAUAAAUGGGCUCCUUCUGUCUUCCCUGCCACCCUUUGUGCAUUUAAAUGAAGAUAUCUUUAUCGAAAACAGGUUUUUUCAGGACCUGGCUAGGAACAGAAUGGACAGGUCGACAGGUAAAGAUGCAGGAUCCUGUCUCGCGCGCCAUCAUGCAUUCACAGUUCGAUCAUUGGCUCAAGUUUGCACGUAUUGCCGUAACCACUGUCUCGUUGUCUUCCUACGCG